GAUGAAGAACGCAGCGAAAUGCGAUAAGUAAUGUGAAUUGCAGAAUUCCGUGAAUCAUCGAAUCUUUGAACGCAUAUUGCGCCCUCUGGUAUUCUGGAGGGCAUGCCUGUCCGAGCGUCAUUGCAACCCUCAAGCGCGGCUUGUGUGUUGGGCUUCGUCCCCCCGUGGACGUGCCCGAAAGGCAGUGGCGGCGUCCCGAAUGGUGCCCGAGCGUAUGGGAACUCUCUUCCGCUCGAACCGGCCCAUUCGGCGCUGGUCGAACCCCAAUUUUUUUUUACCGGUUGACCUCGGAUCAGGUAGGGAUACCCGCUGAACUUAAGCAUAUCAAUAAGCGGAGGA
rnacentral:misc_RNA from 1 species